rnacentral:rRNA from 1 species
ACGUAUGUUCCAAGCGUUAUCCGGAUUUAUUGGGCGUAAAGCGAGCGCAGACGGUUAUUUAAGUCUGAAGUGAAAGCCCUCGGCUCAACCGAGGAAUUGCUUUGGAAACUGGAUAACUUGAGUGCAGUAGAGGAAAGUGGAACUCCAUGUGUAGCGGUGAAAUGCGUAGAUAUAUGGAAGAACACCAGUGGCGAAGGCGGCUUUCUGGACUGUAACUGACGUUGAGGCUCGAAAGUGUGGGUAGCAAACAG